rnacentral:misc_RNA from 1 species
AACGCACAUUGCGCCUUGAGGCAUUCCUCAAGGCAUGCCUGUUUGAGCGUCGGCUCACUUCAAACCCCUGGGUUUGGCUUUGCGCUCGAAACUACAAAACUAAUGCAAUACGUUUCAUUAGUCUGUUUUCGCCCUCAAAUCAGGUAAGACUACCCGCUGAACUUAA